rnacentral:rRNA from 1 species
GAUGAACGCUGGCGGCGUGCCUAAUACAUGCAAGUCGAGCGAAUGGAUUAAGAGCUUGCUCUUAUGAAGUUAGCGGCGGACGGGUGAGUAACACGUGGGUAACCUGCCCAUAGGACUGGGAUAACUCCGGGAAACCGCGGCUAAUACCGGAUAACAUUUUGAACCGCAUGGUUCGAAAUUGAAAGGCGGCUUCGGCUGUCACUUCUCGAUGGACCCGCGUCGCAUUAGCGAGUUGGGGAGGUAACGGCUAACAAAGGCAACGAUGCGUAGCCGACCUGAGAGGGUGAUCGGCCCCACUGGGACUGAGACACGGCCCAGACUCCUACGGGAGGCAGCAGUAGGGAAUCUUCCGCAAUGGACGAAAGUCUGACGGAGCAACGCCGCGUGAGUGAUGAAGGCUUUCGGGUCGUAAAACUCUGUUGUUAGGGAAGAACAAGUGCUAGUUGAAUAAGCUGGCACCUUGACGGUACCUAACCAGAAAGCCACGGCUAACUACGUGCCAGCAGCCGCCGUAA